rnacentral:misc_RNA from 1 species
UCCGGUUUGUCACCGGCAGUCCCCCAUGAGUGCUCGGCACUACCCGGUGGCAACAUAGGGCGGGGGUUGCGCUCGUUGCGGGACUUAACCCAACACCUCACGGCACGAGCUGACGACAGCCAUGCACCACCUGUCAUGGACGCUUACGCACACCGUGUUUCCACGGCUUUUCCCAUGAUGUCAAGUCCAGGUAAGGUUCUUCGGGUUGCAUCGAAUUAAGCCGCAUGCUCCGCCGCUUGUGCGGGGACCCGUCAAUUCCUUUGAGUUUUAGCCUUGCGGCCGUACUCCCCAGGCGGGGCACUUAGUGCGUUAGCGACGGCACGGGAGGAGUCGACACCUCCCACACCUAGUGCCCAUCGUUUACGGCGUGGACUAC